AUGGGAAGAAGAAUCAACGUGAGAAGGUGCCCGAGGGGGCCACGAGGCAGGGGGUUGCGCCUACCCCCUGGGCGCGCCCCUGACCCUCGUGGGCCCCCCAUUAGGCGGUUGCUGCUCUCCUUUGGCCGCAAGAAAGCUAAUUUUCGGAGAAAAAUCUGGGCGAGGGUUUCAGUCCAGUCGGAGUUACGGAUCUCCGGAUAUACAAGAAACGAUGAAAGGGCAGGAUACCAGAAUGCAGAAACAGAGAGAGAUAGAGAGGCAGAGCCAAUCUCGGAGGGGCUCUCACCCCUCCCAUGCCAUGGAGGCCAAGGACCAGAGGGGAAACCCUUCUCCCAUCUAGGGAGAAGGUCAAGGAAGAAGAAGAAGAAGAAGAAGAAGAAGAAGAAGAAGGGGGGCUCUCUCCCCCUCGAUUCCUGUGGCGCCGGAACGCCGCCGGGGCCAUCAUCAUCACCGCGAUCUUCACCAACAUCUUCAUCACCUUCCCCCAUCUAUCUACAGCGGUCCACUCUCCCGCAACCCGCUGUACCCUCUACUUGA
rnacentral:rRNA from 1 species